AGUUUGAUCAUGGCUCAGGACGAACGCUGGCGGCAUGCCUAACACAUGCAAGUCGAACGGAGUUAUUAUUCAGAAGUUCUUCGGGAUGGAAGGAUAAGAACUUAGUGGCGGACGGGUGAGUAACGCGUGGGUAACCUGCCCUUUUGUGGGGAACAACUUCGAGAAAUCGGAGCUAAUACCGCAUAAUAAUAGAGGAUCGCAUGAUUCUUUAAGGAAAGAUGGCCUCUGAAGAUGCUAUCGCAAAAGGAUGGACCCGCGUCUGAUUAGCUAGUUGGAAGGGUAACGGCCUACCAAGGCAACGAUCAGUAGCCGGCCUGAGAGGGUGAACGGCCACAUUGGGACUGAGACACGGCCCAAACUCCUACGGGAGGCAGCAGUGGGGAAUCUUCCGCAAUGGGCGAAAGCCUGACGGAGCAAUGCCGCGUGAGUGAAGAAGGCCUUCGGGUUGUAAAACUCUGUCCUUAUCGAAGAGAGGUAGGUAUGUGAAUAAUGUACCUAUAGGACGGUAGAUAAGGAGGAAGCCCCGGCUAACUACGUGCCAGCAGCCGCGGUAAUACGUAGGGGGCGAGCGUUGUCCGGAAUCACUGGGCGUAAAGGGCGCGUAGGCGGUUUAAUAAGUCAGUGGUGAAAACUGAGGGCUCAACCCUCAGCCUGCCACUGAUACUGUUAGACUUGAGUAUGGAAGAGGAGAAUGGAAUUCCUAGUGUAGCGGUGAAAUGCGUAGAUAUUAGGAGGAACACCAGUGGCGAAGGCGAUUCUCUGGGCCAAGACUGACGCUGAGGCGCGAAAGCGUGGGGAGCAAACAGGAUUAGAUACCCUGGUAGUCCACGCCGUAAACGAUGGAUACUAGGUGUUAGUAGUUUCGAUGCUACUAGUGCCGGAGUAAACACAAUAAGUAUCCCGCCUGGGGAGUACGGUCGCAAGACUGAAACUCAAAGGAAUUGACGGGGGCCCGCACAAGCGGUGGAGCAUGUGGUUUAAUUCGACGCAACGCGAAGAACCUUACCAAGACUUGACAUCCUCCUGACAAGAUAUGUAAUGUAUCUCUUUUCUUCGGAGACAGGAGAGACAGGUGGUGCAUGGUUGUCGUCAGCUCGUGUCGUGAGAUGUUGGGUUAAGUCCCGCAACGAGCGCAACCCUUAUUUCUAGUUGCCAGCAGUAAGAUGGGGACUCUAGAGAGACUGCCAGUGACAAACUGGAGGAAGGUGGGGAUGACGUCAAAUCAUCAUGCCCCUUAUGUCUUGGGCUACACACGUGCUACAAUGGUCAGAACAGAGGGAAGCGAAGCCGCGAGGUGGAGCAAAUCCCAGAAAACUGAUCUCAGUUCGGAUUGCAGGCUGCAACCCGCCUGCAUGAAGUCGGAAUCGCUAGUAAUCGCGGGUCAGCAUACCGCGGUGAAUACGUUCCCGGGCCUUGUACACACCGCCCGUCACACCACGAAAGUUAGUAACACCCGAAGCCGGUGGCCUAACCCGCAAGGGAGGGAGCUGUCGAAGGUGGGACUNAUGAUUGGGGUGAAGUCGUAACAAGGUACC
rnacentral:rRNA from 1 species